AUUGAACGCUGGCGGCAGGCCUAACACAUGCAAGUCGAGCGGAUGAAGGGUGCUUGCUCCUGGAUUCAGCGGCGGACGGGUGAGUAAUGCCUAGGAAUCUGCCUGGUAGUGGGGUAUAACGUCCGGAAACGGGCGCUAAUACCGCAUACGUCCUGAGGGAGAAAGUGGGGGAUCUUCGGACCUCACGCUAUCAGAUGAGCCUAGGUCGGAUUAGCUAGUUGGUGGGGUAAAGGCCUACCAAGGCGACGAUCCGUAACUGGUCUGAGAGGAUGAUCAGUCACACUGGAACUGAGACACGGUCCAGACUCCUACGGGAGGCAGCAGUGGGGAAUAUUGGACAAAGGGCGCAAGCCUGAUCCAGCCAUGCCGCGUGUGUGAAGAAGGUCUUCGGAUUGUAAAGCCCUUUAAGUUGGGAGGAAGGGCAGUAAGUUAAUACCUCGCUGUUUUGACGUUACCAAAAGAAUAAGCACCGGCUAACUUCGUG
rnacentral:rRNA from 1 species